UAUAGCUAAUGCAUCCACAUUAUUCAAAAAUAAGAAUUGUAAAAGUAUACAAUGAAAAGUCUUUUUCCCCACCCAGUUUCCUAGCUCAUAGAAAAUGAUUACUUGUUUUUUUGUGUUUCCUUCUAGAGAUAUUUAAUGCACAUAUGACCAAUUAUUAGGAAACACAUUGGUAAUCUGAAAGGAGUUUAAGGAAUAAAUUAUUCGAAAUGGUUUGGACAGAGCAGAAGGAAAUGACAUGGAAUGGAGCCAAGCCAAUCUCCUGAAAGAGACUUCCUGCUUUAUUCUGUGAAUUGGCCGUUAUUAAUAUCCACUCCCACCUGCUGUGGGUAGGUCACAGUCAUCUCUG
rnacentral:lncRNA from 1 species